GCCGGGCAUGGUGGUGCGUGCCUGUAAUCCUAGCUACUCAGGAGGCUGAGGCAGGAGCAUUGCUUGAACCCGGGAGGCGGAGGUUGCAAUGAGCUGAGAUCAUGCCAUUGCAUUCCAGCCUGGGUGACAGAGCAAGACUCUGUCUCAA
rnacentral:SRP_RNA from 1 species